rnacentral:rRNA from 1 species
AUGCAGUACAGUUUUGUACUGAAUUUAACCAUGAAAUUAUCACAAAGAAUGAAGCUCGGUACUGAAUUUUACAAUAGAGAUGCAGUACAUACUUGUACUGAAUUUAACCAUGAACUUUCUACACACAGUGACCAUCAUCAUGAACCAGACAUAUGCAUACUGAUUAUUACCAGGCAGAAAGAUGGCUCCAAACAGAAAAUAUAUAUUUGCAACAAGGAAAUCACCCAUAAUAACAGGGAGAGAUAUAGCUCCAAAAUACAAGCUCAUUUGUCUUCCAAACCUAAACAGAACAAGUAUUUUUUUACCCCAGCAAAAGUAGUUCAUUCAUGA